UUUCUGGGGUAAGAAUAUAA
rnacentral:snRNA from 1 species